CCGGAUGAACCUCUGAGAGAAGCGGGUGCAACUUCAUCCCUCUUAAUGUUUUAACCGAUUCAAGUCCUCUCGUGCUCGUUUUGUAUUUGAUUGCGUAGUGGCCGGCAGCUCUUUUCAUCUAACCAGUCAUCAAUAGAACACUGAAGCAGAAACUUCACCAGCAGGCGCUCUGACAAACAUUGAAACCAGAAACUAUAUUGAAUUUUUACCGAAUAUUAGCCAAUAUCCUUUUAUUUUCAUUCCAUUUCUGUGAAUUAUCAUAUGAAGUGAUCAGUAAGCGCCAAAAAUCGCGGUUGCCUUUAUACAGAUAGGUUACUGUGAUACGAAACAUUAUUGUCAACCGUCGCUGAUUAAAGCAAGCACCAGCAAAAUAAACAAAUAAUUUAAAAGUGACUACAAUAGAUUUGUAAAAUAUGUAUACAUGUACAACGAUGUACUGCAUCCAUGUAAGUGCUUUGAUUGUGUAAUCACUGUUUGCGGUUUUAAAAGCACUGAGAUGGGACGGAUGGAUUUGGUUACCUCAUGCAACAGUACUAUUGAAUUUCACCUAGUAGUUUUGAAAAGAAGUGAACUAAUGUUACGUUUAGCAGUCAAAUGAUUCUAUCAGUUUAAUAUUGUUUAACCAUCGCUGCAAAAAAGUAAAUUUCAUGAAGCCUUAUGUGUGAAAAAGAAUGUACAAAUAACUAUACUUUACAAUAAAGUACUAUAAAGAUUAUAUGGAGUCGAUAUUAUCAUCACAAUAAACAAAAUCCAACCAAUACAUCGUAAUGUUACGACAUGGUUUCAUUUCCCGGUCCAACUAGUGAUGCUACACACUUAGCUCUUAAUACAACACUUGAUUCAUGUGCCCUCAGAUAUGAAGAAUUUGUCAUACCAAAUACAGUUCCCUAUUGCAAUUGGACAUGGGAUACGAUUCUGUGUUGGCCACCCACCCCAGCUAGCUCCAUAAUACGACAACGGUGCCCUCCUGCACAUGGAAUUGAUACCAGCAAAUUUGCUGAACGACGCUGCAGUGCCGAUGGGAGGUGGGAAGGAAAACCAGGAGUCCCCGCCAACACACUUGGAUGGACCAAUUACACGCCAUGCUAUAAUCCAGAAGUUCUCCAACUUUUUAAGAAACUCUAUGCAGGUGGUAAUACCGAUGAAGCCGACAUUAAAAUCGACAUAGCUGAGAGAACACGUACAUUAGAGAUCAUUGGAUUUAGUCUUUCAUUGGCAGCGUUAUUCAUAUCAUUGGUAAUAUUUUGCAAAUUUCGAAGUCUUAGCAACAAUAGAACACGUAUCCAUAAAAACCUCUUCGUGGCCAUGCUUAUACAAGUGAUUAUUAGAUUAACGCUAUACAUCGACCAAGCAAUCAUACGAAAUGGUGGAAAACGAUACGGCAAUGAGAGUUCUCGUCAUGGUAUUGAUAACACGCCUUAUCUCUGUGAAGCGUCAUACGUUUUCUUGGAAUAUGCCAGAACCUGCAUGUUUAUGUGGAUGUUCAUUGAAGGACUAUAUUUGCACAAUGUCGUUACCGUUACGGUUUUCCAGGGCCGCUUUCCGCAUACAAUGUACGCUAUUCUUGGAUGGGGUAGUCCAUUAAUUCUAACUAUUAUUUGGGCCGUAACAACUGCACAAUACAUAGGACAACAAAAAUGUUGGUGGGGAUACAAUCUCACUCCGUUUUAUUGGAUUUUGGAAGGCCCACGACUAGCUGUAGUUCUGUUAAACUUCAUAUUUUUGCUAAACAUCAUACGAGUGUUGAUCGUCAAACUACGCCAAAGUCAUACCAGCGAUGUGGAGCAGGUGCGGAAAGCAGUGCGUGCUGCUGUUGUUUUAGUGCCAUUAUUAGGAAUAACCAAUAUAUCAAACAUGUCCGAGGCACCGCUGGAGAAAACAGCAUUGGAAUUCGCAUUGUGGUCCUAUGUGACACAUUUUCUCUCUUCGUUCCAAGGAUUUUUCAUCGCUCUUCUCUAUUGCUUCCUGAAUGGCGAGGUUCGUCAUGCUUUAAUGAAAGGACUAAGCGUGUUUCUUUCGAUUCGAGGACACAACGACUGGCACAUACGACGACAAUCGAUGUUUUCACCGGCAUAUGGUGCAGCACCAGAUAACGAAACACCUAAUGAAUCUACAAGGUAUUAAUAAACAAAUCGACAACAACAGUAGAAAUUUGAUUACUUUUUGCUUUCGAAGAGGAAAAAAAUCCAGCCAACCAGCACAUGAACCAGCACUACCUGAGACUAGUGUGUGAUGCCUACUAUACAAAUGCGAGAAUUAUUGCAAGAUAGUUUUAUUGAACGGACACUCAUCAUGAAACCAAUUCUAAGCAAAAUCACAUCGAAGUUUAAAAAUCUAGGGACAAUUUUAUGUACACUAAUGAAAGUUUCUAUUUUGUAAAGAUAUAUAUUAAUUACGGUACAUAUGAGAUUCCCAUAAAGUAGAACGUAUUUCUAUGUAUUUGGCAAAAGAAGCUAAGAAAAUCAAUGCCACGUAUUUAAUUAGUAUUUUGGGAAUGCAGAAGAGCUUUAUAGUGCUUUAAUACCGGCUUCGCAAGUUGCAUAGAACACAAAACGAUAUUUUUUAAAAUCUAAAAAAAUUAAAGACCAAUACAGGACAACCAGAACCAAAUAUAUCAGCGAAUUGUUCGUAAUAGAUAGUGCAAUCAGCUUUUAUAUUGUUCAUUCAACAUAUUUAACAGUUUAUACAAUGUUCCUUCAUAAUUUUUUAAAUAAAUUCUUUAUACUAUUAA